rnacentral:lncRNA from 1 species
CGCUUACAGUCUUUACUAGCCCAUACAAAAUAAAACCAAAUAAAUAAUCGAAGUCCCUUUAAACGGUCCAGGACCCAAUAACAGACCAAGCCUAAGACCCAAAACAUUAAAACCUAAUCCUAGCCCAUUACACAGCCCAAUAACCUAACCCAAAACUUAGUUCAUUGACUCUUUUCAGAAAGUGGAAACCCUAGGCCACUAAGCCGCCGUUCCUAUGCACCACAAACACCAUCAGCAGUCCCAAAUAGUGAAGCUUCUAGAAGACUUCGCGUCACGCCUCACGAAUGGCCUCGCCAUGUCAGCAACACCGCGCCAUACACACCUGCGAGAAGAAAAUAAUAGAAAACAACUCACAACAGAUUGACAGCAAAUAGAUCUAAGGGAAUUUUUUUAUAUUUUUAAUGAUUAUUAUUCUUUUUAUUCGGCUAUAAAAGCCUGUGAAAUCGAAUGUAAAAGGGGGUGAGCCCAGAAAAAUUACGGAUACAAAUCUAUACAAAAAAAAAAGAGUUUGAAUAAGAAAUCAUCUCGAGAGUAGUUUUUCACAAGGUGAUUUUAUUUUCUUUUCGAUUCAUCUCCUGUUUCUUAAAGCUUUGCUACUGCGUAUGAAACCAAAUAUAAAAAAAAAGUGAGUAAAGGGAAGAGACUUAUCCUUUUUUUGAAGCUUCGAAAUCCUUGUUUGCUUCGUGGUAAUCGAAGCCUAGAUGAGGAUUGAAGUUAAAGCCGAGAAAAUUUCGCGAAUUUGCGGCCAGUUAGGACCAGAUUAAGCCCUCGUUUGACGUCGUCCGUCGAAUAUGGAGACGAAGGGACAGUUGUGAAGCUUUAGAUUCGGCUGAAUGAAUAAGGCCUUAGGUUUUGGUUUUAUUUUGAUUUGCUUUUAUUAGUUUUAGGUUUUUUUUUUAC